rnacentral:lncRNA from 1 species
GCCUCUUGUAGCAUUGCUGACUUCACAAAGUAGUCUCAGUGAGUUUUGUCCCCUGAGAUGGGAGAAAAAUGGAAUCAUUCUGUUCUCCAGUUGUACAAAGUGCUGUCCAGGAGCCAAAACUGAGGGAAGGAUACAGGAAGAAAGAUACAGGCAUCCGUGCAAAACAGGAAAGACAAGAGGAGCCUGCAGACUCCAGUGAACAAGGAAACAAACCCAGCAGGCCGGAUACUGUGACGAGCACUCUGGGGACUCACUUUGUUCCUCCAAGCUGA